rnacentral:rRNA from 1 species
UACAGAGGGGGCAAGCGUUGUUCGGAAUUACUGGGCGUAAAGGGCUCGUAGGCGGCCAACUAAGUCGGACGUGAAAUCCCCAGGCUCAACCUGGGAACUGCGUCCGAUACUGGAUGGCUUGAAUUCGGGAGAGGGAUGCAGAAUUCCAGGUGUAGCGGUGAAAUGCGUAGAUAUCUGGAGGAAUACCGGUGGCGAAGGCGGCAUCCUGGACCGACAUUGACGCUGAUGAGCGAAAGCCAGGGGAGCAAACGGG